CAAUAGGUAGUUUAUAUAAAAUAUUAAUUUUGGAGAUUAAUGACGAGUUUAUACUUUCUAUUGA
rnacentral:tRNA from 1 species